CUGCUAAACAUCAGGAAAGAAUCUUUGAGGAUCAUAAAAUGUUAGUCAAAAGGCCAAAUAAACAACUGAUAUGAAUCUAGUAUGCUGCUGUUAUUUAGAUAUUUGAAGUUACUAAAAAUGUCAUUAUAAAAUUUUUGGUUAACACGUUUCGCAGUCUACAAUUAGCAAAAUUGAAAAAAAGGUUCGUGAAACUUGACAUGUGAAGAAUAUUGAAAAACCAGGUAGAAAUGUUGAAUUUACUGAUGAGGAAAAAAUUAGAUGUACCUUGCCUCCGUCAAUGAUGUAAGUAAAUCAUCUAUUUAGAGAGUUUUGCAUAAAGAAAAACACCAUUCUUACAAUAUUCAGUUGGAUCAGGAAUUAAUUCUGUGAAUUCAUUUAAACGGAACAUUAACAAACAAAACUGUAGAUAUUGGAAAAGAGAAAAUCCUCACUGGAUGUGUGAGGAUGACACUCAAUAUCCUAAAAAGUGAACUUUGGUGCCUACAUUACAAAGACUUAUUCCUGAUGUUAAUCAUCCAAAUAAGAUAGAUCGAUCUAUUUAGAUGGAGCUCCAUCGCAUUUUGCUUUGCACGUACAGUUAGAAAUUAUAUGAACGAGGUUUUUCUCAAAACGUGGAACGAUCGAAUUGCCGAAUAGAUACUCCGAUUUGACUCCUUUCGAUGGGUACUUUAAAAUCUAAAGUAUAUUCUAUUUAAAAGUUAGUAUAACGUAAGAAACAAAAUAAGUCCAGAAGUCAUACAAAAUGGUUUACGUGAAUUCCAAAAUCGCCUCCCUCGGUUAUUGUCAAGAAGUGAAUGGUGGUCAUUUUGAACAUCAAAUUUAAUUGUAAAGUACAUUGAAAAACGCACCAAAUAUAAAAAACUUUAUAUUGCUGAAAAGAGGACUAAAAUCUCUUUGCAACAAGGUGCCACAGGACCCCCUGUGGGUGCUUAUAAUCCAGAAGGGGUGCUGGAGAGGUAUCAUACUGAAAAGUGUAAAUUUAAAUAUAAAAAUCGACCUGUUCCAGGUUUUUUUCACAUAGUACAUAAUAAUGCUGAAA